GACGAAGGGUCCAAGCGUUAUCCGGAUUCAUUGGGUUUAAAGGGUGCGUAGGCGGACUUGUAAGUCAGUGGUGAAAGCCCAUCGCUUAACGAUGGAACUGCCAUUGAUACUGCAAGUCUUGAGUACAGAUGACGUUGGCGGAAUAUGACAUGUAGCGGUGAAAUGCUUAGAUAUGUCAUAGAACACCGAUUGCGAAGGCAGCUAACGAAACUGAAACUGACGCUGAGGCACGAAAGUGUGGGGAUCAAACAGGAUUAGAUACCCUGGUAGUCCACACUGUAAACGAUGAUUACUCGAUGUUUGCGAUAUACAGUAAGCGUCUAAGCGAAAGCGAUAAGUAAUCCACCUGGGGAGUACGCCGGCAACGGUGAA
rnacentral:rRNA from 1 species